rnacentral:lncRNA from 1 species
UCCCGGCUUCCAUCUCCUCCCAGCUACCUGCAGUGCCACCAGGUUUAUCACCUUAGAGCAUCCACAGCCACAGUUACCCAGAGAGAAGAGAAGGAGGAGACACAGGGCUUGGGGACGAAGGCAUUCAAACAGGCAGGUCCUCCCACGGGAAUCCCAUGACGGCCGACUCCACGACCACUUCCCCAGCAUGACUAGAUUUCCUGCAGCUUCGAAAUGCAAACAUUGCCUCAGACAAAAGCUAAAAUUGUUACAGUCAGAACCGAAACCACGAGUGAGAAGGGGCUCUGCUCCCAGUACCCACAGCCACGGGGAGCCACCGACCAGCAUGUCUUACCAUUGUUCACCUGGCCGUGGACCGCAGUGGGGACUGAUGCCAGCCCCAGCUAUUUAGGAGACUGAGGAGGGCGGAUUGCUUGAGCCUGGAAGGUGGAGACUGCAGUGAGCCAAGAACACGUCACUGUACUCCAGCAUGAGUGACAGAGCAAGACCUUGUCUCAAGACAAACGAACAAAAAAAAAAAAAGAAGAAACUGCCCCUGUGAGGCUGGGUCUAUCCUCCAGAACGAGCCUUUGCCUGGUUCUUCCUGGGAACGCGGCACUUUGAUGAAAUAACGAUUCAGAGAGAGAUUGUGGCGAAUUGAAUUCUAUGAAACAUAAAAAAAUACGUAGAAUUCAUAUAUUUAUUUGCUGAGAAAUAAAAAUGUGUCCUCGUUUUAGUGCCCUAAAAAGCAGAAACCUACAUGUUG